CCCAGACUCCUACGGGAGGCAGCAGUGGGGAAUAUUGCACAAUGGGGGAAACCCUGACCCAGCGACGCCGCGUGAGGGAAGAAGAUUUUCGGAUUGUAAACCUCUGUCCUUGGUGACGAUAAUGACGGUAGCCAAGGAGGAAGCCCCGGCUAACUACGUGCCAGCAGCCGCGGUAAUACGUAGGGGGCAAGCGUUAUCCGGAUUUACUGGGUGUAAAGGGAGCGUAGACGGCUGUGCAAGCCAGAUGUGAAAGCCCGGGGCUCAACCCCGGGACUGCAUUUGGAACUGCGUGGCUUGAGUGUCGGAGAGGCAGGCGGAAUUCCUAGUGUAGCGGUGAAAUGCGUAGAUAUUAGGAGGAACACCAGUGGCGAAGGCGGCCUGCUGGACGAUGACUGACGUUGAGGCUCGAAAGCGUGGGGAGCAAACAGGAUUAGAUACCCUGGUAC
rnacentral:rRNA from 1 species